ACGGAAGGCAGCAGUGGGGGAUAUUGCACAAUGGGGGAAACCCUGAUGCAGCGACGCCGCGUGAGUGAAGAAGUAUUUCGGUAUGUAAAGCUCUUUAAGUUGGGAAGAUAAUGACGGUACCAACAGAAUAAGCCCCGGCUAACUACGUGCCAGCAGCCGCGGUAAUACGUAGGGGGCAAGCGUUAUCCGGAUUUACUGGGUGUAAAGGGAGCGUAGACGGCAUAGCAAGUCUGAAGUGAAAUCAUAGGGCUCAUCCCUGUAAUUGCUUUGGAAACUGUUAAGCUCGAGUACCGGAGGGGCAGGCGGAAUUCCUGGUGUAGCGGUGAAAUGCGUAGAUAUCAGGAAGAACACCGGUGGCGAAGGCGGCCUGCUGGACGGUAACUGACGUUGAUGCUCGAAAGCGUGGGGAGCAAACAGGAUUAGAUACCCUGGUA
rnacentral:rRNA from 1 species